rnacentral:rRNA from 1 species
AGCGAACGCUGGCGGCAGGCCUAACACAUGCGAGUCGAACGAACUCUUCGGAGUUAGUGGCGGACGGGUGAGUAACACGUGGGAACGUGCCUUUAGGUUCGGAAUAACUCAGGGAAACUUGAGCUAAUACCGGAUGUGCCCUUCGGGGGAAAGAUUUAUCGCCUUUAGAGCGGCCCGCGUCUGAUUAGCUAGUUGGUGAGGUAAAGGCUCACCAAGGCGACGAUCAGUAGCUGGUCUGAGAGGAUGAUCAGCCACAUUGGGACUGAGACACGGCCCAAACUCCUACGGGAGGCAGCAGUGGGGAAUCUUGCGCAAUGGGCGAAAGCCUGACGCAGCCAUGCCGCGUGAAUGAUGAAGGUCUUAGGAUUGUAAAAUUCUUUCACCGGGGACGAUAAUGACGGUACCCGGAGAAGAAGCCCCGGCUAACUUCGUG